rnacentral:rRNA from 1 species
CUUUGCUGGCGACCGGCGCACGGGUGAGUAACACGUAUCCAACCUGCCGAUGACUCGGGGAUAGCCUUUCGAAAGAAAGAUUAAUACCCGAUGGCAUAGUUCUUCCGCAUGGUAGAACUAUUAAAGGAUUUCGGUCAUCGAUGGGGAUGCGUUCCAUUAGGUUGUUGGCGGGGUAACGGCCCACCAAGCCUUCGAUGGAUAGGGGUUCUGAGAGGAAGGUCCCCCACAUUGGAACUGAGACACGGUCCAAACUCCUACGGGAGGCAGCAUG